UCCUUGGCCACAGGCGCGGCAGUGGUGCUUGGACAGCUUGGCAGUGAACUCACGUUGGCAGUUGUGGCAGGACAGGAUGUCCUGGUCAGGCACCCAGUAGGCAGGACGAGCUGCAUCCUUCACCAGGCCUGAACGGAAGGUCAUUCCUCUGCUACUCACCCAGACCAGGCGUAUUUGGCGAGGCCCAUCCAUGGAGAGUCUGAGGAAGCUGAGGUCUUUGGGACGACUAUCACUUCCUUUCCCCCUUCAUAGCAAGCCUGAGCGCUUUGAAGAUGACCACCGGGGUACGUGGGGAGCGGGUGGCGUUGUUAUCCAGGAGCUGCUCCAGUUUAUUCUGCAGGCCACGGAAGUCAGUAGGGGGACUGAGAGUCUGUGUUCCCCAGUACUGGACAGAACUGAAGGCUUCUGGAAAACGGGAAAGCUUCCUAAAGCGCUCCAAAAGCAGCCGAUCUACUGACUCAGAUGACUUCUCUAUAAAAGGACAAAGAUGGCAUGAUUACCACUCACUGUAAUCAUAAGCUACUGGACAUAAACCAUUAGCAUGUGUUUGCACAUUUGGUAAAAUCUGUGGUUGAAAACUGGUUAAACCAAUAAACAACAACACAAAGACACUGGGACUAUGCAAUAUUGGGAAAAAAAUGGCAUUAUGAUAGUUUUUGUGUCUGUCAUACGCAUUGCAAUGUGAAAAACAGAAAAUUUCCCCUAAUUACUUGAAUUACUCUACUUGGAGAAAAAUAAUCAUUCUAGAAUGAUGGUGUAAUGUAACAGAUGCAUCCAUCUGGCUUUGCCCUUGUCAUAGAGAGCUUUGUUGGGAUGAUUUGAAUGGUCAAACAAAUUAGUUGUGUUGCCUCAACAACAACUGCAAGAUGCUGCUGAAAGAAUCCAUGUCUUUGGUCAACGUCAUUCUUUCAGUAACCAAAAUACUUUCAUACAACUGAUGUUACAUUUCAUUUUGCUACCAAAUCUUUGUUUUCAAAGAUUUCCUCACCCAUUUUUCUGUGCACGUUAAGCCUGCAUGCCAACAAACUCCGUGACGUGGAAAUAAAGUUAGACAAAAAACUGCGUAACCAAUACCCCUUAAAUCAGAGUUAAUUAUGUAAGUUUUUGUUUCAAGCAGCAAAUAAAGUUGUACCAUGA